CCAAUAGCGUAUAUUAAAGUUGUUGCAGUUAAAAAGCUCGUAGUUGAAUUUCGGGGUCAGUAGGUUGGUCAUGCCACUGGUAUGUACUGGUCUCACUGAUUCCUCCUUCCUGAUGAGCCGUAAUGCCAUUAAUUUGGUGUUGCGAGGAAUCUGGACUGUUACUUUGAAAAAAUUAGAGUGUUUAAAGCAGGCUAACGCUUGAAUACAUUAGCAUGGAAUAAUGAAAUAGGACGUUCGAUCUUAUUUUGUUGGUUUCUAAGAUUGACGUAAUGAUUAAUAGGGGUAGUUGGGGGCAUUAGUAUUCAAUUGUCAGAGGUGAAAUUCUUGGAUUUAUUGAAGACUAACUACUGCGAAAGCAUUUGCCAAGGAUGUUUUCAUUAAUCAAGAACGAAAGUUAGGGGAUCGAAGACGAUCAGAUACCGUCGUAGUCUUAACCAUAAACUAUGCCGACUAGGGAUCGGAUGAUGUUAAUUUUUUAAUGACUCAUUCGGCGCCUUACG
rnacentral:rRNA from 1 species